GACGAACCGUGCGAACGUUAUUCGGAAUCACUGGGCUUAAAGCGCGUGUAGGCGGGGCGGCACGUCCGGCGCUGAAAUCCCCCGGCUCAACCGGGGAAGGGGCGCGGAUACGACCGCCCUGGAGGGACGUAGGGGGACCUGGAACUUCCGGUGGAGCGGUGAAAUGCGUUGAGAUCGGAAGGAACGCCCGUGGCGAAAGCGAGGUCCUGGACGUCUGCUGACGCUGAGACGCGAAAGCCAGGGGAGCGAACGGG
rnacentral:rRNA from 1 species